GAUGAACGCUGGCGGCGUGCCUAAUACAUGCAAGUCGAGCGAACGGACGAGGAGCUUGCUUCUCUGACGUUAGCGGCGGACGGGUGAGUAACACGUGGAUAACCUACCUAUAAGACUGGGAUAACUUCGGGAAACCGGAGCUAAUACAGGAUAAUAUUUUGAACCGCAUGGUUCAAUAGUGAAAGACGGUUUUGCUGUCACUUAUAGAUGGAUCCGCGCUGCAUUAGCUAGUUGGUAAGGUAACGGCUUACCAAGGCAACGAUGCGUAGCCGACCUGAGAGGGUGAUCGGCCACACUGGAACUGAGACACGGUCCAGACUCCUACGGGAGGCAGCAGUAGGGAAUCUUCCGCAAUGGGCGAAAGCCUGACGGAGCAACGCCGCGUGAGUGAUGAAGGUCUUCGGAUCGGAAAACUCUGUUAUUAGGGAAGAACAAAUGUUUAAGUAACUAUGCACUUCUUGACGGUACCUAAUCAGAAAGCCACGGCUAACUACGUG
rnacentral:rRNA from 1 species